rnacentral:lncRNA from 1 species
GAGAAAAAAUAAUUUGUUUUUGAUUCUGAGAAAAAAAAAUUGUUUGUUUCACCCUCAGCUGCCACUAUAUGUAAUGCUAAAAUUGAAAGAAAAAAAAUGUUUUCGACUUGUCGCGAAAAAAAUAGAUUGUUUUUCGCCGCAGGCGAAAAAAAAAAUUUGUCCAGAAAAAAAAACCAUAGCCCCCCCAGAAAAUCAAAUGGUUGCUGCCUAAGGAACAAAU